UACGUAGGGGGGCAAGCGUUGUCCGGAUUUAUUGGGCGUAAAGCGCACGCAGGCGGUCUGGCAAGUCCGAAGUGACAGUCAUUGGCUUAACCAAUGAAGGCCUUCGGAAACUGACAGACUUGAGAGCAAUAGAGGGAUACGGAAUUCCGGGUGGAGUGGUGAAAUGCGUAGAUAUCCGGAGGAACACCAAAGGCGAAGGCAGUAUCCUGGAUUGUUUCUGACGCUCAGGUGCGAAAGCUAGGGGAGCGAACGGG
rnacentral:rRNA from 1 species